AGAGUUUGAUCCUGGCUCAGAAUGAACGUUGGCGGCGUGGAUUAGGCAUGCAAGUCGUACGGGUCGGCCUUCGGGCGGGCCAGUGGCGCAAGGGUGAGUAAGGCGACGGUAACCAACCCGGGGCUGGCCAUAGCCGCGGGAAACCGCGGGUAAUUGCCAGCGACGUCGCGGCCCGGCAUCGGGACGCGACCAAAGGUGAGAUCCCGCCCCGGGACGGGCCGUCGUGGUAUUAGGUCGUUGGCGGGGUAACGGCCCACCAAGCCUGCGAUGCCUACCGGGCGUGCGAGCGUGGCCCGGCACACUGGGACUGAGACACUGCCCAGACUCCUACGGGAGGCUGCAGUCGAGAAUCUUCGGCAAUGGGCGCAAGCCUGACCGAGCGACGCCGCGUGGAGGACGAAGGCCUUCGGGUUGUAAACUCCUGUCGAGGGGGACCAAGGGGAUGCGAAGAGCAUCCCUCGAGAGAUCCCUGGAGGAAGCACGGGCUAAGUUCGUG
rnacentral:rRNA from 1 species